AGAGUUUGAUCCUGGCUCAGGAUGAACGCUGGCGGCGUGCUUAACACAUGCAAGUCGAACGAGCCUUCGGGCUAGUGGCGGACGGGUGAGUAACGCGUGAGAAUCUGCCCUCAGGAGGGGGAUAACGGCUGGAAACGGCCGCUAAUACCCCAUAUGCCGCGAGGUGAAACGAGUUUUCGCCUGAGGAUGAGCUCGCGUCUGAUUAGCUAGUUGGUGGGGUAAGAGCCUACCAAGGCAUCGAUCAGUAGCUGGUCUGAGAGGAUGAUCAGCCACACUGGGACUGAGACACGGCCCAGACUCCUACGGGAGGCAGCAGUGGGGAAUUUUCCGCAAUGGGCGCAAGCCUGACGGAGCAACGCCGCGUGAGGGAUGAAGGCCUCUGGGCUGUAAACCUCUUUUCUCAAGGAAGAAGAACUGACGGUACUUGAGGAAUAAGCCACGGCUAAUUCCGUGCCAGCAGCCGCGGUAAUACGGGAGUGGCAAGCGUUAUCCGGAAUUAUUGGGCGUAAAGCGUCCGCAGGCGGUCUUGAAAGUCUGUUGUUAAAGCGUGGAGCUCAACUCCAUUUCAGCAAUGGAAACUAGAAGACUAGAGUGUGGUAGGGGCAGAGGGAAUUCCCGGUGUAGCGGUGAAAUGCGUAGAUAUCGGGAAGAACACCAGUGGCGAAGGCGCUCUGCUGGGCCAUAACUGACGCUCAUGGACGAAAGCCAGGGGAGCGAAAGGGAUUAGAUACCCCUGUAGUCCUGGCCGUAAACGAUGAACACUAGGUGUCGGGGGAAUCGACCCCCUCGGUGUCGUAGCUAACGCGUUAAGUGUUCCGCCUGGGGAGUACGCACGCAAGUGUGAAACUCAAAGGAAUUGACGGGGGCCCGCACAAGCGGUGGAGUAUGUGGUUUAAUUCGAUGCAACGCGAAGAACCUUACCAGGGUUUGACAUCCUGCGAAUCUUUUGGAAACAGAAGAGUGCCUUCGGGAGCGCAGAGACAGGUGGUGCAUGGCUGUCGUCAGCUCGUGUCGUGAGAUGUUGGGUUAAGUCCCGCAACGAGCGCAACCCACGUCUUUAGUUGCCAGCAUUAAGUUGGGCACUCUAGAGAGACCGCCGGUGAUAAACCGGAGGAAGGUGUGGAUGACGUCAAGUCAUCAUGCCCCUUACAUCCUGGGCUACACACGUACUACAAUGCUACGGACAAAGGGCAGCAAACUCGCGAGAGCUAGCAAAUCCCAUAAACCGUGGCUCAGUUCAGAUCGUAGGCUGCAACUCGCCUACGUGAAGGAGGAAUCGCUAGUAACCGCAGGUCAGCAUACUGCGGUGAAUACGUUCCCGGGCCUUGUACACACCGCCCGUCACACCAUGGAAGUUGGCCAUGCCCGAAGUCGUUACUCCAACCCUUGUGGAGGAGGACGCCGAAGGUGGGGCUGAUGACUGGGGUGAAGUCGUAACAAGGUA
rnacentral:rRNA from 1 species